GGGAGCCGGGGAUGUGUGUGUGACAUAAGGGGGAAUAUGAAUAGCAGAAAAGAGACUGCGGUAUGGUUGCAGGAAGAGGAGAGUGAAGGGCAUGUUGUUUCUCAGCAGAACCAUUCGUUAUGACAUAUGGUUGUUGUGAAAUCCUUGCUCUGACCAAGGCCCAUGGGCAGCACCUUAUUCCCCAGUCCUGCUCUGUGCUUGCCAUAAGGACAGGGAAGGAUCCACCUCAAAGAGUGCACAGAAGCUCUGCAGCGCCCUUUUAGCUGAUGUGACUGAUAGAACAAGCUUUCAGAAGGUGACUGGCAGGGAUUUUUGGCUGCUGUCAUCCUGAUUAGCACCCAAGGAAUCAGACUACAGCAGGAGCUGAAGGCAGGCUGUGAGCAUUGGUAUGCUGGGCGCUGCUCCCACCUGCGGGGAUGCUGAAGCUGGAAGCUCCAAGGCUUGGUGAUGGCACACAAAAUGGUUCUAUUCACUGCUCUGGGCCGUCCUGCCCCUGCUGCCCAGUGUGGAUGAGUUCUCACUGCCAGCCUGACAUGUCCCCAGCUUGGGGACCAUCUGUCUGUCCUGCAGCUGCUGCCAUAGGUGUCUGGGGGUGCCUGGCAUGGAAGCUGGUUGUUCUGUAACUGUGGACAGGUUUAUUAAUUCAGACAGAUGAAGUCGCAUCCUGGGAGGCGCAGGCUGAUUAAAUAUGACCUUGUUAGUGCA